AGAACGAACGUUGGCGGCGUGGAUUAGGCAUGCAAGUCGAACGAAUCCCAUCCGGGUAACUGGGUGGGGGAAGUGGCGAAAGGGGCAGUAAGGCAUGGGCAACCUACCCCGGGGACGGGCAUAGCCGUCCUAACGGACGGGUAAUACCUGGCGAUUCGGCGAGGGGGCAUCCCCUUGCCGGGAAACGAGUUUCGCCUCGGGAGGGGCUCAUGUAGUAUUAGCUUGUUGGUAAGGUAACGGCUUACCAAGGCGAAGAUGCUUAGCGGGUGUGAGAGCACGACCCGCGCCACUGGCACUGAGACACUGGCCAGACUCCUACGGGAGGCUGCAGUCGAGGAUCUUCGGCAAUGGGCGCAAGCCUGACCGAGCGACGCCGCGUGUGCGAAGAAGGCCUUCGGGUUGUAAAGCACUGUCGAGGGGAGAAAGCCGCAAGGUUGAUCGACCCUGGAGGAAGCACGGGCUAAGUCGCGCCAGCAGCCGC
rnacentral:rRNA from 1 species